CUGCAAAUAAAAGCCCUGCAAUGUGUAGAGGUGCUCAUAUAAAAGAGAGCAACUUCUGCUCUUGUUAACUCUGAACUAUGUAAGUCAGAACAUCAGCCUCUUGAACUAUUGUUAAAGAUCUCAAGACUGUUGUUGAAGCUCUCUCUUGUGUCCAGUUCUAGGGCCCCCAGUGCGAGAAGGACAUGGAGCUGUUGGAGUGGGUCCAGAGGAGGGCUACGAAGGUGAUCAGAGGGCUGGAGCACCUCCCCUACAGGGACAGGCUGAGAGGGCUGGCACUCUUCCACCUAGAGAAAAGAAUGCUCCGGGGGGAUGUUAUAGGGGCCUACAGGAAAGCUGAGGAGGAACUUCCUGUAAGGGCAUGUAGCAACAGGACAAGGGGAAAUAGUUUUAAACUGGAAGAAGGUAGAUUUAGACUAGAAGUUUGAAAGAAAUUCCUUACUGUGAGGAUGGUGAGAAACUGGAGAGGUUGCC
rnacentral:lncRNA from 1 species